rnacentral:lncRNA from 1 species
UGGGAUUCUUGAUCAUAUAUCUUGAAUUUGUCCAGCCAAAUAAUCAAGGGUAAUGGGGUCCAGCUCUUGGCUUGACUUGAGGCAGCGAGGUCGGUGGUGGGGUUUUUGUUUUUGCGCCCAUGAACUGAAGAAGCUCUGCUACCAGAAUUAGUAGAGUGCACAGAAUUAAAAGGGAAUAUGCAGAAGAAAAUUGCGUUCAUUACUGAUCUUCAACAAAGUGGUCCUUUUUAGUGAUCAGCCGCCUCUGCCUAGAGAUUUUGUC